rnacentral:rRNA from 1 species
UACAGAGGGGGCAAGCGUUAUUCGGAAUCAUUGGGCGUAAAGGGCGCGUAGGCGGCCGCGUAAGUCUCGGGUGAAAUCCCUCGGCUCAACCGAGGAACUGCCCUGGAUACUGCGCGGCUCGAGGCCGGGAGAGGAUGGUGGAAUUCCCAGUGUAGCGGUGAAAUGCGUAGAUAUUGGGAGGAACACCGGUGGCGAAGGCGGCCAUCUGGACCGGUCCUGACGCUGAGGCGCGAAAGCGUGGGGAGCAAACAGG